rnacentral:rRNA from 1 species
UACGAAGGGGGCUAGCGUUGCUCGGAAUGACUGGGCGUAAAGGGCGCGUAGGCGGCUCAUACAGUCAGAUGUGAAAUUCCUGGGCUUAACCUGGGGGCUGCAUUUGAUACGUGUGGGCUUGAGUGGGGAAGAGGGUCGUGGAAUUCCCAGUGUAGAGGUGAAAUUCGUAGAUAUUGGGAAGAACACCGGUGGCGAAGGCGGAUCUCUGGGCCAUUACUGACGCUGAGGAGCGAAAGCGUGGGGAGCGAACAGG